rnacentral:pre_miRNA from 9 species
GAUCUACUCCGAGAAAUGGGCUUGGUUCGUUUACCCUGUAGUACCGAGCAAGUGGACAAUUUUGAAAAACACUGUUCGCUACUGGGGGUCAAAGAACUGAGUUUGAAAACAACAAUUCAGAAG